UACGGAGGGGGCGAGCGUUAUUCGGAAUUAUUGGGCGUAAAGGGCGCGUAGGCGGCUUUCUAAGUCAAAGGUGAAAUCCCUCGGCUCAACUGAGGAACUGCCUUUGAAACUGGAAGGCUUGAGGCCGGGAGGGGGUAGCGGAAUUCCCAGUGUAGCGGUGAAAUGCGUAGAUAUUGGGAGGAACACCAGUGGCGAAGGCGGUUCUCUGGGCAUUACCUGACGCUGAGGAGCGAAAGCGUGGGGAGCAAACAGG
rnacentral:rRNA from 1 species